GGAGAGAUGGCUCAAAAGCUAAAAGCACUUGCUACUACUCCAGAGGACCUGGGUUCGAAUCCCAGCACCUCCA
rnacentral:tRNA from 1 species